rnacentral:lncRNA from 1 species
UUUCUCAAAGUGCAAACCGGGUGUGGUGUGGUGUAGAUGGUGGACUAGGGCUUGGGUUCAAAACCCCACUGUCCCAUGAAGCUUAACUAGCCAAUUCUGAAUAUUAACUAGCCAAUUUUGGGCUAGUUAAUAUUCUUCCAGCCUGGUUUAACUCACAGGGUUGUCGUGACGAUAAAGUGGCGGGAGGAGAGCCGUGCACGACGCCCUGAGAGCUUUACAUAUAUUGAUACUUAAGCUGGGGUAUAGAUGUAGAGAAAUAAAUCGCUCAUUUGCUUUUUUUUGGGGGGGGCGACGUUUGUGGUGGAAAACGGGGAAGCUUUUCGGCAUUUUGGGAACCGUUCCCACCCUGCCCUGACAGAACACCAUUUCCCCGUUUCCUUCGGAAGUCGUUCCAGUCAAGGAGGGGUUAACGCUUGCCUUUCUCAGAACCAGCCGGGCCAGCUCUGUGGUGUCUUUCACGAAGGAUUAUUUACUGCAACAAUGCAUAGAAGGAAAAACCCGGAUCACAUGCAUUUUUAAAAUGCCUUUGGUUAUCCUUAGCAGCAGAGGGAAAGGAAACAAGACCUCACGCCAGAUUGUAUUACCAAUUAAUUGAAUGUCCUUUGAAAUAAACAUUGUAGCUCGCCUGGGUUUAGAGCGUGA